rnacentral:rRNA from 1 species
AACGAACGCUGGCGGCAGGCCUAACACAUGCAAGUCGAGCGCACCCUUCGGGGCGAGCGGCGGACGGGUUAGUAACGCGUGGGAACAUACCCUUUUCUAUGGAAUAGCCUUUGGAAACGAAGAGUAAUACCAUAUACGCCCUUCGGGGGAAAGAUUUAUCGGAGAAGGAUUGGCCCGCGUAAGAUUAGAUAGUUGGUGGGGUAAUGGCCUACCAAGUCUACGAUCUUUAGCUGGUUUUAGAGGAUGAUCAGCGACACUGGGACUGAGACACGGCCCAG